GACGCGGCGGGACGCCGGGGAACCCUGCUCUCUCUUGGCAUGGGUUCACUUGGCUUCAUCAUCAUGCGACCUACUUGUGAUGCGUACCGCUCACCUUUCUGCCUCAGCGGCAGAAACUCCAAUCCAGACAGGGCAGGAUGAGGGGAGGUUAAUCCAGGCAGGACAAGACAUUUCAGCCACGUUAAUAUCCUAAAGGAGGCAGUGGGGUGUGUUCAGCUUGUGCAUUUACAGAAAACAGGUUCCCUCAGGUCACAGUCAGUGCCAGUGGCUGCUGCUUGUGGGCUGCUCUCGGGGGGAGGAUCGGAAUGGUGUCGUGGUGCAGGAUUUAACCAACUCGUCAUGCUGUGACUGUUGAUCUUCAGUAAGUCCCCUUAGGUUUCGAAUGGCCCCCAGCCUGACCCUCCCACCCCGCGAUGUAGUGCUGGGCUUGCUGGGCAGAGCUGGUCCAGGAGGCCCUUGCAAAGUGACUGUGUCCCUGUCCUCAGCUCUUGGGCCUGUCCGGUGAGGAGUGGAGCCCCCUUUUGGUGUCAUCUGGCCAAAGCCUCAGCAGGUCCCCCUCAGAUCUCUGGUGUGAGCAGCUGACUAGACCCCAGGUGUUUUAGUGCUACCUUGAUAAGUACCAGGUGGGAAUGAAGAAACAGCAGGGACCAGGGGUGACAAGGUCGGAGGGAGGUGGAGGCCAAGGGGGCGGGUAACAAAUGCAUGAAAAGAGGCUUGCGGAACGGGUCACGCAGCAGUGUGUCCCAAGUGGGAAUCCUUGGCCAGUUUGGAAAUAAGAACUACCUUGUAAAAAACAAA